GGAUUGCUCACGUUACUUCAGCCAAUCAGAGAACUGUGCAUGAGUGGAUUGCUUAUCAUGUAGCCCCCCUCCCUCACCAGGCCUUUCAAAAUACUUUGCUGAAACCUUCUGGGGAGUUGGGGGUUUGGGGGGCAAGAAAGAAAGUGAAGUCGCUCAGUGGUGUCCGACUCUUUGCGACCCCGUGGACUGUAGCCUACCAGGCUUCUCCAUCCAUAGGAUUCUCCAGAAGCAGCAGACCCAGAGUCAUAGCCAAGCACAAGCACAUACGUCUUUCACAGAGCACUGCGCUCUCUCAGGGCCGAGUCUCACCUUGGAGGUUGAUGAUGCUCCGAAGUCACGGGGAGCUGGAGCCCAUCUCCACCGACAGCCGUCUGGCUUUUGGAUUCCAGUCACAUUCUUCACCAGCCGAAGGGAGUGCUCAAGGCCCUUCUGUCCAUGGGAUUCUCCAGGCAAGACUACUGAAGUGGAUUGCCAUGUCCUCCUCCAGGGAUCUUCCUGACCCAGGGAUCGAACCCACACCUUUUAUGUCUCCUGCAUUGACAGAGAUAUGUAGCCUCACUUGUCUGGCAUCUUAUCCAAGAAGACUUCCUUUUCUCUGGUUCCCUGUGGAAUGCAUAUUAAGCCAUUGGAGAGAGAAGAGUGGACAAAUGUGAGGGCACGAUGGUUUUUGAGUGUCGGCCUUGGCGCGGCUGUCGAGAUCGAGAGAUACUGCAGUUUGUUCAUCGCGGGAAGGGUGUUUCCCAGGAUGGUUAAAGAGAAAAUUGCACUGAUGAAAGAAUAUAUUCAGUCAAAAUAAAAUAAUUCUCUGGAAAUGAAGAUUUCUCCCGUUGACCUGCAUUGUGUGUGUGUGUGUAUUUUUAAACAAAUUUUCAACUCUUUUUUAUUUUUAUUUUUUGUAACAACUGCCAGGAAAAAAAUUUAAACCUUGACUUUGAUGUUUUGAACUUUCCGAGUAAGUUGAUGUAUGUACAUCAUGAUUAAAGACCAAACACUGGCUAAUACCUACCUGGUAAAAACCGAUGGCAAAUUAAUUAAACAGAGUGCGUUUUAUUCUAUAUAAAAGCUAGUCAGUUAUUUCUGCUAUUAUGACUCUGGUGAAAAUAAUUAAUUUGAAAUCCAUAGAUAGGUUUAAAUUUAAUUUCUAUUAUAGUUGACAAUAAGGACCCAGGCUCAUUC
ensembl:lncRNA